rnacentral:rRNA from 1 species
UACAGAGGUCCCGAGCGUUGUUCGGAUUCACUGGGCGUAAAGGGUGCGUAGGUGGUGACGUAAGUCGGAUGUGAAAUCUCGGAGCUUAACUCCGAAACUGCAUUGGAACUGCGUUGCUAGAGGGUUGGAGGGGGGACUGGAAUGCUUGGUGUAGCAGUGAAAUGCGUAGAUAUCAAGCGGAACACCAGUGGCGAAGGCGAGUCCCUGGACAACACCUGACACUGAGGCACGAAAGCUAGGGGAGCAAACAGG